rnacentral:rRNA from 1 species
AUUGAACGCUGGCGGCAGGCCUAACACAUGCAAGUCGAGCGAGCGGAGGACGGGUUAGUACUGUAUGGGGAUCUGCCCGAUAGAGGGGGACAACUACUGUAAACGGUGUCUACUACCGCAUACUAUUGGUAGAACCCAUAUGGGAUUGGCUAGUAGGUGGGGUAAAGGUUCACCUAGUCGACCAUUUCUAGUUGGGCGGAGAGGAUGAUCAGCCAAACUGUGGCUGCGACACGGUCCAGUCUCCUACGGGAGGCAGCAGUGGGGAAUAUUGCACAAUGGGCGCAAGCCUGAUGCAGCCAUGCCGCGUGUAUGAAGAAGGCCUUAGGGUUGUAAAGUACUUUCAGCAGGGAGGCGUUACCCGCAGAAGAAGCCCCGGCUAACUCCGUGCCAGCAGGCGCGGUAAUAC